GCUGCAUUAACACAGUGCAUUGGCAUGUUACUAAAUCUAAGGCAUUUUGAAGGAUAAUUUCUCAGACUUUAUCCAAAACAUGAAACAAAUUCUUCAAGCAUAAACUGCCAAGCUCAUCGACUUGUUCAGAUCCCCAUAAUGUGGGUCUCACCAAACUGCGCUCUGUGAUUGGCUGUUUAACACUUCCAGGCUGGUGGAGGUGGUGGGCAAGGGAUGUGCCGAGGGAGCUGCUCGACGAGCCUGGUGUGUUGGCCUCUCUCAGAAGAUCAGACUUCUGGAAUCGAUUUGGGCCCAGAAUUGCAUUACCGAAGGAAUGCGGACUAUGUGCAAGCCUUGACGGCUUGUGAACCACACUUCCUGAAGCUGGCCACAAGCCAGCACCGAGACCAUCAGCAUCUUAAAAAUGAAUUCUUUAUGAGACAAAGAACAAGCCACCCAAUUUCUGAAAUCACUGAAGUGGAAAGCUUGUCUGACACAUCCCAACUGGAUUUUCCCCAGAGAGCACAACUUCAUGGCCCCAUCCUGACAGCUGACAUCCUCUGAGCCCAAGGUUGAAGGUGAUGACUAAGCUCUGGAACCCAGCUCAUGAAGUGCUGCUAGCUACAUCUACGGCGGCCCUUCCCUCUUUCGUUAAACUAUUCUGGAAACACUCUCACAAACAAACCCAGAGCUGCGUUUUCUUGGUGUUUCUAAAUCCAGUCAAGUUGGCGAUAAAGACAAAACAUGACGUGCUGCGAGAGCCAGAAGAGACAGAGCACAGGAGACAAGUCCUAACACAUCAGAAGCUUCAAAACGCAGAGGUGGGCACAGCAGAGAGACCCAAUGCAGUUCCCAAGACACAGAGCAGACGUGAUUUAAAAUGAGUAAAUUGCAAACGCAGAGUGUGAGCCAUCUCUGUCUACCUAAGAUGAAACCAGACUAUGAAGCAACACAAAGAGCCAGAGAGGUUGAGUGGACAAAAGAGAUGACUUCAUCGCUCUGGCAGGACUUAUGGAACUCUUCUGGAAAAGAACCCACAUUAAUUCCCCAAAGGAAAGAAAAUAAGAUAUUGUCUGGAAAGACCUAAGAGUGUCACUUCACUAUUCCCCCUCAGAGCACCCUGGCAAUAAGGUUGCCAUGCUAAAAUGUUGCAUGUGCUGCCCUCCCUGACGCAUCCUCUAGAGCCUGUUUCGACACAUCCCACAUAGAUUCUCUUUGCCAUACUUCCUUUGAGUUAUUUUUCUUUCUGGACCUCUGUGCUCCAGAGAAGCAACAUUCUGGGAAGUGAAGUGAUUUAGACCUACCUGAUGGCUUUGCUCCCUUUUAUUCCCGAUUAGGAGUCCUGGGCCUGAGCCCAACCCUCUCACUGGUCAGUUUUCUGCUUUGCCCAGUCAAUGAACAGAGGAAGAUAGCCAAAGUAAUUCUCAAAGUGGAAAACUCAAGGAAAAGAUGUGAUGGCUUUGAAGAGAGGACCAUGUGAAUAGAGAAUGAAACUGGACCAGGAACUCCAAUGCAAACCUAACAAAUGUAGACUAGAAGAUGAGGUUAGAAGGCUGGCCAAAGGGAAGCCGAACUACUACAUCAAUAGUUAUUUUACUUCACUGAAACACAAUGAAUACUCUUUGUUGGUUUCUAUAUGUUUCUAGAGUCUUAGUUUUUUUUAAUUAUUAUUUAUGUGUAUGUGUGUCUAACUGUAUGUGUAUGCACACAUGCAUGCAUGUACCAUCAGACACCAGAAGAGGGCACCAGAGCCCCCUGGAGUGUAGAGUUACAGAUGGUUGUGAGCCACUCAGCAUGAAUGCUGGGAAACAAAUCCUUUGAAAGAGAAGCAAGUGCUCUUUAACUUUCUCUCUCUAGCCCCAAAGAAGGCUUUUAAAAAGAGCAGGGUUGAAACAUGAAAACUGUGAUUAGGAGUUCAGGCUUUGUAGGAGGAAGACCAGAUAAAGAUGCAUGGCUCUGCGUCUCACUAGCAAGGUGACCUCAAACCCAUUGCUAGGCUGUGGGCCCCGAUCUGUGAAAUGACAAUAACCACAUCUACAGCACAGAAGUGUGUCCAUGUGUCAGUGGCCAUUAAUACUACUCCUGCUAUGUGCUAGAUAUUGAUAAUUAAUAUGGACUAUGCCCAAGGUCACACAUGGCAACCUACUGAUCAAAACCCAUUAUGGCUUGGCACUCUGUAAGCAUGCUCCUUACAAUGUCAGGACCAUAAACCACUCAGCCCCCGUAUCUGGCAAAUGACUACAGGUUAAUGUAAAAGGUCAAAAAUCUUUUGUCUUAUUUUAUUUUACAUUUUUCUCUCACAUAGGGUAAAAGAGAGAAAAAAAAUCUUAACACUGAUUAGGAGGUUAAGAAAAAAAAGUUCUAGAAACCAGAAAAAGAAAAUUUUUUUCUCUGAAGAUGUGAAUGCCUGUCACAAACUUUCUUGGCUUGGCAUAUCAUGAGUCACUUCUUUUGUUCUCUGAAACUGACCAGAACUUUAACUAAAUUUUGGUGUCAAGUCAAAGCCUACCCUUACCCUUCUCGUAUUGUAAACAAGUCCACUGAAGAUCCAGGUUAAAGUAUUUUCUCUUUUCAGCUUGAUGAAUUACUAACAAGAACGGCACAUGAGAUAAUGUCUCUUGGUAUCUGGAUAAUACACUGCCUCUCAAACCUACGACAGAAAUACUGGCUUCUCUCUGUGUGCUUCUAAUGGCCUUGGGGUGGGGGGAUAGCUUAAAUCAAAACCUUCCUCGUUACCUACCACAAUCCUCUUGGUUGUAGUGGUCCUGAGGUUUGAGGAGCUGUUUGCUAACCCUGUGAUCCCAAAGCUCACACUGAACUUGGGUUGUUAAAAUGCUCCAGAGGGGACCUGAACCAUGGCAAUCGGAGACCUCCCUCCACUCAUGCCAAAAUACCCUUCGCCUUUAAGGGCUCUUUUUAAAGCCAGAGAGUUCUCUCUGAUCCUCCUUAAUAAAGUGCCCAGGCAGCGGUAGUAACAACGCUCCCCUUCCUUAUUUGAGAUCUGUGCAGUCUCAUUAAAUUUGAUGUGUCACAGAGGGCUUGAGUAUGUGAAAGGCAGGCGGUGGGAGCUGGACUGGAGGUUGCCAGCUUUACUAAGGAAACGUAAUUCAUUACACCUUUUCAAAAUGGACGCCCCUCUGGCUUCCUGCUCCAUUGAUUCCCCCCUCCCCUUCGCAAGUAACGAGUGAAGGGCCUGCUCAGCCUGCAGAUUUAACCCUUAUUAACAGCUGUUUAAAUUAGAGAUGCAGUUUGAUGGAGAGAUGGGAGCCCCUCAAAGGAAACCAAGAUUAAAGCAUGCAUAAGACUGGAGCUGGGUUGUUGAGACAGCACCCCUGCCACCCCCCAAAAAGGAGGGGCUAGUGUUGCUAUUAAGCAGUUUGUCUAAAUAAUAUGUUCCUGCUUUGCCAUGAUUAAAUAUUCAUGGCCUACACUCCCACCUCUGUUGCCCCCACUCCUUUGCAAUAGUCAUAGAAGAAGGAAAAUUUGCUGGACUGUGCAAAACAAAGAAUCCUGUGACAAUAACCAGUUGGUUUGCCUGCUUCCUCCUUCUUGAGAUUGAUCUGAAACUACUCUGAAACCUAGCUGACUCCAAGCACCUUUGAGACCUGGGAGUGAACUACUGGGUUCUCUUGAAGGGAGCCGUCUGUUCUGGAAGCAGAGUCUGCAAGACAGAAGACAAGGUUCACCCUCCAAGUGCAACCAUGGAUUCUGUGGGAUUAUAUCAUUCACCUGGCCCAUAAACUAACCUGGAAGCAAAAGGACAAAGGUCAGGGUCAAGGAGCACCCACAUGUCAGACAGGCACGUAAAAUUCACAGUCCGACAUCAUUAUACAUCCCUGGAUAGUUAUGCAUCCUGCCCAAUAGAAACUAAUAAACCAAGAAAUAUCUGAAAAAGAAAAUCUAAUGAUAUUUACUUAUUUACUCAUUUGCUCGGGUCUCUACUCUGAGCUUUGUACCUGGCAAUAUUGUGGUGCUGGCAAUUUCAAAGGUCAGCAAACCACCUGACAAAAAACAAUGUAAGAGAGGAACGGUCUACUGGAGCUCAUACCUUGAGCCUAUGGCCGAUCAUGGCCAGGAAGGAGCAUACGACAACUGCCCAUAUUACAUCUGUGUUCUGGAAGCAGAGAGCCAUGGGCGCUAGCUGGUGCUCAGCUGGCCCUCUCUUCUGUAUUCAGCCAAGCAGUUAUAUGUCUCACCUUGCUGAUGCUAGUCUAAAAGAAAACCCUUCAUGAACAUCCUCAGGGGUUUGUCUCCGAGCGGCUUUAGAUCCUACCAAGCUGGUAUUGAGUACAAACCAUCACACUGUGUAAGUAUUCACACCUGGACUGUGCUAAUACUUAAUUCCUUAGGUCUCUGGGCUUUGUAAGCUGUAGGCGUAUAGAUUGUAGUCCUCUGAAUUCCUUUCUCAAAAGAAGAACAUGGGACACCAUGAUGGAUUUAUCACUAGAGAAAAUACAUAGAGAAAAUACAUUUUUCUUGCUGGGAAAUCAUAGCAGGCUAAAGAGGGUAGAGGUAGAAAUGAUUGAUCUACUUCAAACUCUAAAGUAAGUCUAUGUUGAUAAAAUGUCGACUCCUCCAACUUCCUCUAGAGAGCCCCCAUCUUCCAUCUAAACAGACAGAGAUCACCAGAUUCAAGGUGACAGACAGCCUUUGAAAACUGCCCACUUGUACGCAGAUGGAAGAAUGUUAUUCCUUUAUGCCCAUAACUCUACUCUCCUGGCCUGCAGUGGCUAACUCAAGGAUCUAAAAAUUAGAUGGUCCAGGGUUUAAAGCAGGUUGUGUGCUAGCUGCUUUUCUAUUUAUAUGUUAAAAGAAAGGGUGCUAGCUAACUGGCUUCUUAUUUUAUCUUCAACUUAAACAUGUAAAGUGGUAUUUUCCCUCUAGAGUCUACAGUCUAUUGUAGUCCCCAAACCUCAAUAUGCAUUUUACAGGGUUUGGUGGAGAUUUUUUAUGGUUAUUUUAAUUAUGUUUAAUGAUGUGUAGGCAUGUGUGCCUGUGUGUAAUUUUGUGCAUGUGAGUGCAGGUGCCCUCGAAAGCCAGAAGAGGCCAUCAUCUCUCCUAGAGCUAGAGAUACAAGCUGUAGUAAGCCAUUUUACAUGGAUGCUGAGAACUGAACUCCGACCCUCUAAAAGAACAGCAAGUAUCCUUAACCUCUGAGCCAUCUUUCCGUACCACUCCCAAGCAGUUUUUGCCCUAGAACAGUAAGUUGACUCUCUGUAGUCCCAAAGUAGGAAAUAAAAACAGAAAAAAUCCUGACUCCGUCUGUCUGUCUCUACUGCCCCAGUUCAUUUUAAUGGGUUUUCUGAGAGGCUCAAAGCAUAUGCAGUAUAUUAUCUGCUUUCCUCAUUUUGUGAUCAAAUACCUGACAAAGGAGAUUUUAAAAAGGAAGGGGUGUUUUAGCUUAAGGGUGAGCGGAUUCGGUUCAUCAUCGGAGAAGAGAGGCAGGCAGGAUCCUGCAGUAGCUGUCAUUUCACAGCUACAGAAACAGACCAGAGUGAGAGGCACUCAGCUGCUUUCUUCUCCCCAUCUCCCUUUUAUUCAGCCAGGGACCCCAGCCCAUGGGACAGUGUUGUCUGUAUUAGGUUAGGUUUUACUUUCCCAAGUAAAGCCCUCUGGAGAAGCCCUGGCACACCUGACCAGAGGUCUUCGAAGUAAGCUUCAGCCCAGUCAAGUUGAUGACAAAGUUUAGCUAUCAUAUACAAGGUGUGCUACAAAUGGUGUCUUCUUCACAGUUUUGAACAAUUUACAAUGUCACAAGAGUUACUCCUGGCUUACCUUCACCAAGAAGUGACAAAUGUUACAGAUAUAAGGGCCUUCUACUUUCUCAUAAGGAGCUGCACAAAGGAGAGGGACCAGGAAAAAAAAAUGUAAGUUUUCGAUAUACCUCACAUCUGGGGCUUAUGGGAAGAGGUGUAUACAGCAGGGGCGGCCAGAAUGUUCUGGUUCAAAACAACUGUCCAGGCAGAAGGGAGACUUGGCAAGACUCUCUCCAUCAUGAUCUCACACUUAAACAUGUGCACGUGUGGAGAAACACAACCUUGAUUUUUCUGGGCCGCCUAGAACAUUCAAGUCCUACUUUGCAAACAUGUACAGCAUGAAAAAGGACACACAGCGUGAAAAAGGACAUGGAGCAUGUAAAAGGACACACAGCAUGAAGAAGGACACACAGCAUUGAAAAGGGAGCUGGUUGAGUAGAGGCAGCAUUCCAGCCUAGCAUGCAACCCACUCCUCCAACAGCUGCAAGAUGUUGCUGCUAGGUGGGCGUAUCUGCUCAUCUACACCCCAUGAGCCACAUGCUGGAAUAGUCCUGUGACCUCCCAAAACAAUCUGUAGAAGGAUAAAAAUCAAAGUAGAGCGCGGGUAGAAAGAACAAAGUCAUUCCUGAGGCCUGUGCAUCGCCCCAGGAAGGUGCUGAGACCUUUGUGUGUGCUGUGCAUCCAAUCACAGGCACAAUCCUACAGGGUUAGUUAGCUUUUUUCCUCUUCCUCCUUUAUUAUUAUUGCUUCUUUUUUCAUUUUCAGAUGCGUUGAGGACCCUCACCAAAUCUAACUGAAUUUAACGGA
rnacentral:lncRNA from 1 species